CUUACAUGAAUAAAUUAACCGUAAAUCGCCAUUGUUUUUUCAAGUGAGGUCAAGCGAAGAUUUGUCAGCGCUGGAAACGGAAAUUUGGACAUGAAUGGACCCUUGACAUCCAUAUACGCAAUAGGUGGAACUGGAAGACAUGCUUUUGCAAGAUACGUACUUUAGUUUUGUGAUUGGUUGUUACCAUGAAUGAGCCUGACAACAGCCUCACAUUUGAUAGCCAGCCAAUGCCGACUUCGGAUGAAGAUUCCCAGUACCGAUAUGGGAGCCAACUUUCACAGAUACUCAGGCUGUAGACAUUGAUGCAACUAUCCCCCCCCCUCGCAGGCGGUCACCAGUGAUGAAGCUUAAGGUCCCUCAUCAAAACAAAGCACUAGUUAUGAGGCUUCUGUACUAUACAUCUCUAUUUCGGACGAGGAAUCCCAGUCAAUCAUUCUGAAGAAGAGACGUACAAUUACUGUUGGCCCUUUUUUGUGUGACUGAGGAUACUCCCCCAUACACGUCCAUGAGGGUAGUGCCUUAUGUGGUCAGAUGUGUUUGUAACUAAUUUUUCUUGCAUAUGAGGAUAUUCCCCAGAUCAGUCCAAACCAGUAGUGCUUCAUUUGGCUUGUCCUUCCUUCAAACGGCUGUGGGUACCCCUGUUGAGAGCUGUCUUGAGACUGAAUUUUCUUCUCAUCUCAAUUUUUGUCAUUCCGACAGACAGACAUGGCAGCAGGAUCUGGAUUCGUGGAUAACUGGCAGAGCGGGAGGUCCGUGGUUGAGUGUAACCACCACAUGCUGACCUCGGAACACAACUCUGACGUCACCUUCCGGGUUGGCAAAGGUGAAAAGCCCAUCCGGGCACAUCGCUAUGUGCUCACCAGCCGAAGCUGUGUCUUUGAUGCAAUGCUGUGUGGCCCCCUGGCGGAGAAAGAUGACAUCAAGAUACCUGACGUCGAGGCAGGCAUAUUCUCAGAGAUGUUGGUGUACUUGUACACAGAUGACGCGACUGUCACACCUGGGAAUGUCACUGGAUUGCUGCUCCUGGCCACGAAGUACACCGUGGGGGGUCCCUUAAACUUACAGACUAGUUACCCCCUUCCCCCAAACUUACAGACUGGUUACCCCCUUCCCCCAAACAUACAGACUAGUUACCCCCUUCCUGAAAACUUACAGACUGGUUACCCCCUUCCCCCAAACUUACAGACUGGUUACCCCCUUCCCCCAAACGUACAGACUAGAUACCCCCUUCCCCCAAACUUAUAGACUAGUUACCCCCUUCCCCCAAACUUUCAGACUGGUUACCCCCUUCCCCAAAACUUACAGAAUAGUUACCGCCUUCCUGAAAACUUACAGACAUGUUACCCCCUUCCAAUAAACUUACAGACUAGUUGCCCCCUUCCCACAAACUCACAGACUGGUAACCCCCUUCCCCAAACUUACAGACAUGUUACCCCCUUCCCAUAAACUUACAGACAUGUUACCCCCUUCCCAUAAACUUACAGACUGGUUACCCCCUUCCCUUAAACUUACAGACUAGUUACCCCCUUCCCAUAAACUUACAGACUGGUAACCCCCUUCCCCCAAACUUACAGACUGGUUACCUCAUUCCCGAAAACUUACAGACUGGUUACCCCCUUCCCCCAAACUUACAGACUGGUUACCCCCUUCCCCCAAACGUACAGACAUGUUACCCCCUUCCCUCAAACUUACAGACAUGUUACCCCCUUCCCCCAAACUUACAGACAUGUUACCCCCUUCCCCCAAACUUACAGACAUGUUACCCCCUUCCAUCUAACAUACACACAAGUCCCCCCUCCCCCCAAACUUAAGGAAAUACGGUUUCUAUUCGACACGACCUGGCCACAAACUUAGUUAUCAUACAGUUCUAAGAUUCACUAAAUCAACUCUCAUAAUAUAUUAUCACAUAACUCAACCUGAACGAGACUUUUUUAAUGAGCUGUUAUUGAAUCGUUCAGAGAAGAAUUGCUUGUGUGCGUGCGUACUUGCAUGCGUGCAUGCAUUCGUAUAUUCCAGAAACAAUGGAUGCGACAUUUGACUCGUGUGAAAUUCAUAACACUUCACGCCAGAACUGCUUUGUCCGCCUCAACGACACAGGAUGGCAAAGUAAGGCAAGAAAAUACUGAUUAUGUGAAAAUGUCAACCACUGGCGUAAAUAUCAACUUUGUCAAGAAACCACAUGAGAAAAGCACGUUAUUCGACAAGAAAAGACAAGACAAAUAUCCUCUUUGCAUGCUUUCGUAUCUUUAUGUAGUUGCUAAAAAGAAAUAAACAACUAUCUUGUG